CUCUUGCGAUCUCGCCAUUUUUUUUGGAAACCUCUGCGCCAUGAGAGCCAAAUGGAGGAAGAAACAAAUGCGCAGGCUGAAG